rnacentral:rRNA from 1 species
UACGUAGGGGGCGAGCGUUGUCCGGAGUUACUGGGCGUAAAGGGUGCGCAGGCGGCCGCGCAAGUCCGCGCUGAAAGCCCCCGGCUCAACCGGGGGGGGCGCGCGGGGACUGCGCGGCUAUGAGGCCCGCAGGGGGGCGCGGAAUUCCGGGUGGAGCGGUGAAAUGCGUAGAGAUCCGGAGGAACGCCGACGGCGCAGGCAGCGCCCUGGACGGGGCCUGACGCUCAGGCACGAAAGCCGGGGGAGCGAACAGG